rnacentral:rRNA from 1 species
CAGUCGCCGCGGUAAUACGUAGGUGGCAAGCGUUGUCCGGAAUUAUUGGGCGUAAAGGGCUCGCAGGCGGUUUCUUAAGUCUGAUGUGAAAGCCCCCGGCUUAACCGGGGAGGGUCAUUGGAAACUGGGAAACUUGAGUGCAGAAGAGGAGAGUGGAAUUCCACGUGUAGCGGUGAAAUGCGUAGAGAUGUGGAGGAACACCAGUGGCGAAGGCGACUCUCUGGUCUGUAACUUACGCUGAGGAGCGAAAGCGUGGGGAGCGAACAGGAUUAGAUACCCGCGUAGUCCCUGUCUCUUAUAC